rnacentral:lncRNA from 1 species
GGGAGAGAGAGGGAGAAGGAAAAGACAAACUAAGUCAGACACAUCCCUCAGAAAUGGGCGACAAAUAGCGAAAUGUUUCCAUAGAAUCCGAUAAUGACUUAGCGAGCGCGGCCGGGAGUGGCCGUACCAUCACCCUCAAUAAUUCAUCCUCUGCACUGUUGCCGAUAUUUUGAUUUGCGAAAUUCCAAUUAUGAGACCCACUUCACCUUGGUUUAUCCGCAUUGCCGGACCUCGAGUCUGACUGUUGAUUCGCACACGCAUACUCCUCAUUGGAAAAUGAAAUGCAAUACACGCAGAAAAUAAAAUACCUGCAAUUAACUCUGAAUAAAUAUCGAAAUAGUACAUCCGCUGAAGGGGCGUCAUCGAAGAUUUUUAAUAAAUUUGUAUCUGGUUAUGCCUUGC